GCUGGCGGCAGGCUUAACACAUGCAAGUCGAGCGGGCACUUUCGGGUGUCAGCGGCGGACGGGUGAGUAACGCGUGGGAACGUGCCUUCUGGUUCGGAAUAACUCAGGGAAACUUGAGCUAAUACCGGAUACGCCCUUUUGGGGAAAGGUUUACUGCCGGAAGAUCGGCCCGCGUCUGAUUAGCUAGUUGGUGGGGUAACGGCCUACCAAGGCGACGAUCAGUAGCUGGUCUGAGAGGAUGAUCAGCCACACUGGGACUGAGACACGGCCCAGACUCCUACGGGAGGCAGCAGUGGGGAAUAUUGGGCAAUGGGCGAGAGCCUGACCCAGCCAUGCCGCGUGCAGGAAGAAGGCUUUCUGAGUCGUAAACUGCUUUUGACAGGGAAGAAUAAGGCUUACGUGUAGGCUGAUGACGGUACCUGCAGAAUAAGCACCGGCUAACUCCGUGCCAGCAGCCGCGGUAAUACGGAGGGUGCGAGCGUUGUCCGGAUUUAUUGGGUUUAAAGGGUGCGUAGGCGGCCAUUUAAGUCCGGGGUGAAAGCCCGUUGCUUAACAACGGAACUGCCCUGGAUACUGAGUGGCUUGAGUACAGACGAGGUUGGCGGAAUGGACCGAGUAGCGGUGAAAUGCAUAGAUACGGUCCAGAACCCCGAUUGCGAAGGCAGC
rnacentral:rRNA from 1 species